rnacentral:rRNA from 10 species
GUCUAUAAUUAUACCACCCUGCACAUACCCAAUCUUGCCUGAUCUUGGAAGCUGAGAGUUAGGGUCAGGACUGGUUAGUACUUGGAUGAGAGAAAACUGAGGCUUAAGAGGUU